GAAUAUGAAGUCUUACCGUUAGUGUGUGUGCAGAGGUGUGUCCGGGGGUUUUUACCAGCCAUCAACGGGAUUCAGGCAUCUUCUCUUCGUCCUCUUCACAGAGGCGAGAGCAGGGAGGAAGGCAGAGCAGAACCGAAAGGCCCAGAUGUGCAGCCGCUAGCAAUCACGGAAACCCGAAGAGCUCACCUCCGCAACGACAUGACAUAUCAACUACACUUCAUGCAGUCCACUCCAAGGUUCUCGAAACCACGCAAGGCGCCAGCUUUCACCAUGUUCCUUCAGGAUUCAGCGAUAGAAGCGACAGCGACUACAUGGACAGACAGAUGGACAGAUGGCCGCGCACUGCUGAAUUGACAGGAACGCUGGUGAGCCCUGAAUCAACAG